UUCUCAAGAUUCUUUGUGCGGGGUCACACCAAAAUGGUGCGACCCCAUUAACAAGGGAAAGUUGGUGAGAAAACUUUGUCGAGAGCGACAAAUCCAAGCAUCGCGUACCUCUCAUGUCGUCCAAUAUUCUUCUCGUCGACACCAUCUCCGAUGACUUCUUUGGAAGAUGAACCUCCAUUGCUAGAAAACACUUGAAUUGCCGUUCAAGAUGUUCAUUUGAAUGGCAGAGCUCCAGAUUUGGCUUCCGGCGUUUGCCUCGUCCAAAUUCGGUGUUUUCCUUGUACCAAAAUGUUCCAAUCUCUACCGACUUGUGCUGGUCAUCUCAGGGCAAACUAAGGGGAUUUCUAGGCCGAGGUAUCACAUAUCUUGAUAUUAGGUAUCACCCUGAUAUCUAUUGAUUUUUAGGCCGAGGUUUCAACAGUUUUUCUUUUUUCUGUUGAUUCUUAUCUUUUUAAUGAAUUUAACUUCAUACUCUAAGCAUGUAUCUGUAUUUAUUUUUUUAUUUUUUCAUGGUGAUUCUUAUCUUGUUAAUGCAAACAAA